AGGCUCCAUGCGCAGAAUGCAGCCCAAUGUGGUGCUUGAACUUACGACUCUGGGAUCAACACCAGCGCAUCCUGCCUUUUCUCCAGCGGUUCCAAAGCACCAAUGGGACAAGCAUCCCAGAGGAACUACUGAAGUUGUCCAAAGAGGGAGUGGGGUGCUCAGAUCACAACCCUGGUGCUUCCAGAAGGCUGCAGAGAGGAUGAUGGCUUCUACAGAAGUCCAAGCCGUGGCAGGAUGACUGACCAGUAAGAACAGGUCGACCAGUAGUGUAGGCCAGAGAAGCGGCCCAUGGCAAUAGGGAUGGGGAACAGCAGGUUCACGCAGGACAGACUAGGAAUCAGUACCUGCUAUUUCUUGGGAUUCCGAGUUCUCUAAGUUCACUACAUUAAGAAUACUCUAUAUCCUAACAUUACUACUGCCUCGAUGUUCCCAGGGCAUCUAAGUGUCAUCACUGGGAGCAUCCCCUAGGGUACUGUCACCAAA